CAUGUAGGCGGGAAUCUAAGUCUGUUGUGAAAAUGCGGGGCUCAACCUCGUAUGGCGAUGGAAACUGGAUUUCUUGAGUGCAGGAGAGGAAAGGGGAAUUCCCAGUGUAGCGGUGAAAUGCGUAGAUAUUGGGAGGAACACCAGUGGCGAAGGCGCCUUUCUGGACUGUGUCUGACGCUGAGAUGCGAAAGCCAGGGUAGCGAACG
rnacentral:rRNA from 1 species